CGCCAGCUAAGGUCCCAAAGUCAUGGUUAAGUGGGAAACGAUGUGGGAAGGCCCAGACAGCCAGGAUGUUGGCUUAGAAGCAGCCAUCAUUUAAAGAAAGCGUAAUAGCUCACUGGUCGAGUCGGCCUGCGCGGAAGAUGUAACGGGGCUAAACCAUGCACCGAAGCUGCGGCAGCGACACUCAGGUGUUGUUGGGUAGGGGAGCGUUCUGUAAGCCUGCGAAGGUGGCCUGUGAGGGUUGCUGGAGGUAUCAGAAGUGCGAAUGCUGACAUAAGUAACGAUAAAGCGGGUGAAAAGCCCGCUCGCCGGAAGACCAAGGGUUCCUGUCCAACGUUAAUCGGGGCAGGGUGAGUCGACCCCUAAGGCGAGGCCGAAAGGCGUAGUCGAUGGGAAACGGGUUAAUAUUCCCGUACUUGGUGUUACUGCGAAGGGGGGACGGAGAAGGCUAUGUUGGCCGGGCGACGGUUGUCCCGGUUUAAGCGUGUAGGUGUGUGUUCCAGGUAAAUCCGGUUCACUUUAACACUGAGGCGUGAUGACGAGGCACUACGGUGCUGAAGCAACAAAUGCCCUGCUUCCAGGAAAAGCCUCUAAGCAUCAGGUAACAUCAAAUCGUACCCCAAACCGACACAGGUGGUCAGGUAGAGAAUACCAAGGCGCUUGAGAGAACUCGGGUGAAGGAACUAGGCAAAAUGGUGCCGUAACUUCGGGAGAAGGCACGCUGACACGUAGGUGAAGUGAUUUACUCAUGGAGCUGAAGUCAGUCGAAGAUACCAGCUGGCUGCAACUGUUUAUUAAAAACACAGCACUGUGCAAACACGAAAGUGGACGUAUACGGUGUGACGCCUGCCCGGUGCCGGAAGGUUAAUUGAUGGGGUCAGCGCAAGCGAAGCUCCUGAUCGAAGCCCCGGUAAACGGCGGCCGUAACUAUAACGGUCCUAAGGUAGCGAAAUUCCUUGUCGGGUAAGUUCCGACCUGCACGAAUGGCGUAAUGAUGGCCAGGCUGUCUCCACCCGAGACUCAGUGAAAUUGAACUCGCUGUGAAGAUGCAGUGUACCCGCGGCAAGACGGAAAGACCCCGUGAACCUUUACUAUAGCUUGACACUGAACAUUGAGCCUUGAUGUGUAGGAUAGGUGGGAGGCUUUGAAGUGUGGACGCCAGUCUGCAUGGAGCCGACCUUGAAAUACCACCCUUUAAUGUUUGAUGUUCUAACGUGGACCCGUAAUCCGGGUUGCGGACAGUGUCUGGUGGGUAGUUUGACUGGGGCGGUCUCCUCCUAAAGAGUAACGGAGGAGCACGAAGGUUGGCUAAUCCUGGUCGGACAUCAGGAGGUUAGUGCAAUGGCAUAAGCCAGCUUGACUGCGAGCGUGACGGCGCGAGCAGGUGCGAAAGCAGGUCAUAGUGAUCCGGUGGUUCUGAAUGGAAGGGCCAUCGCUCAACGGAUAAAAGGUACUCCGGGGAUAACAGGCUGAUACCGCCCAAGAGUUCAUAUCGACGGCGGUGUUUGGCACCUCGAUGUCGGCUCAUCACAUCCUGGGGCUGAAGUAGGUCCCAAGGGUAUGGCUGUUCGCCAUUUAAAGUGGUACGCGAGCUGGGUUUAGAACGUCGUGAGACAGUUCGGUCCCUAUCUGCCGUGGGCGCUGGAGAACUGAGGGGGGCUGCUCCUAGUACGAGAGGACCGGAGUGGACGCAUCACUGGUGUUCGGGUUGUCAUGCCAAUGGCACUGCCCGGUAGCUAAAUGCGGAAGAGAUAAGUGCUGAAAGCAUCUAAGCACGAAACUUGCCCCGA
rnacentral:rRNA from 1 species